rnacentral:rRNA from 1 species
GUGGGGAAUCUUGCGCAAUGGGCGAAAGCCUGACGCAGCCAUGCCGCGUGAAUGAUGAAGGUCUUAGGAUUGUAAAAUUCUUUCACCGGGGACGAUAAUGACGGUACCCGGAGAAGAAGCCCCGGCUAACUUCGUGCCAGCAGCCGCGGUAAUACGAAGGGGGCUAGCGUUGCUCGGAAUUACUGGGCGUAAAGGGAGCGUAGGCGGACAUUUAAGUCAGGGGUGAAAUCCCGGGGCUCAACCUCGGAAUUGCCUUUGAUACUGGGUGUCUUGAGGAUGAGAGAGGUGUGUGGAACUCCGAGUGUAGAGGUGAAAUUCGUAGAUAUUCGGAAGAACACCAGUGGCGAAGGCGACACACUGGCUCAUUACUGACGCUGAGGCUCGAAAGCGUGGGGAGCAAACAGGAUUAGAAACCCUGGUAGUCC